rnacentral:rRNA from 1 species
AAGAGUAACGGGGGAUGCCUUGCUCUCAGAGGCGAUGAAAGGACGUGAUAAGCUGCGAUAAGCGCGGGGAUUGGGCAAAUAUGAAUUAAUCGAAGAUUUCCGAAUGGGCAACCCGCAUGUUGAAGACUAUGUUCACAAUAGAGCGAACCUGCCGAACUGAAACAUCUAAGUAAGCAGAGGAAGAGAAAAUAAUAAUGAUUUCCUAAGUAGUGGCGAGCGAAAGGGAAAGCCCAAACCAGUUGUUACGGCAAAACUGGGGUUUGUAGGACUACGAUGUGAUUAUAAUGUAACGAAGUGAAUGGGAUGGGAAAGCCAAUAAGCGUGAUAGCCGCGUACACGUAAGGAAUUAGUCUAGUAGUAUCCUGAGUACCGCGAGGUCGGAGACGCCUUGUGGGAAUCUGCCGGCACCAUCCGGUAAGGCUAAAUACUCCUGAGAGACCGAUAGUGAACCAGUACCGUGAGGGAAAGGUGAAAAGAACCCCGAACAGGGGAGUGAAAUAGAACCUGAAACCGUGUACUUACAAGCGGUCGGAGCACCUUCGUGGGUGUGACGGCGUGCCUUUUGCAUAAUGAGCCUACGAGUUACUCUUCACUGGCAAGGUUAAGUGUUUAAGACACGGAUCCGAAGCGAAAGCGAGUCUGAAUAGGGCGCAUAGUCAGUGGAGGUAGACGCGAAACCUUGUGAUCUACCCAUGGGCAGGUUGAAGGUGGUAACACGUACUGGAGGACCGAACCGGUAAACGUUGAAAGUUUUCGGAUGAUCUGUGGGUAGGGGUGAAAGGCUAAUCAAACUGGGAAAUAGCUCGUACUCCCCGAAAUGUUUUUAGGAACAGCGUUAUGAGUUAUAUAGAGGUAGAGCUACUGAUUGGGUGCGGGGAGUCAAAUCCUACCAAAUCCAGACAAACUCCGAAUGCUAUAUAAUAUAACGGCAGUGAGGGCUGGGUGCUAAGGUCCGGGCCGAGAGGGAAAGAACCCAGACCAUCAGCUAAAUUAUGCUAAGUUGAACUAACGAGGUUGCGAUUGCAUAGACAGCUAGGAUGUUGGCUUGGAAGCAGCCAUUCAUUUAAAGAGUGCGUAACAGCUCACUAGUCGAGCGAUCGUGCAUGGAUAAUAAUCGGGCAUAAGUAUAUACCGAAGCUAUGGAUUAAAUUAUAUCGGUAGGGGAGCAUUCUAGCGGCAGCGAAGUUGUAGCGUGAGCUAUGGUGGAGCUUCUAGAAAAGAAAAUGUAGGCAUAAGUAACGAUAAGGCGGGAGAGAAACCCGCCCACCGAAAGGACUAAGGUUUCCUGAUCAAACGCUAAUCGGAUCAGGGUUAGUCGGGGCCUAAGGCGAACCCGAAGGGGUAGUCGAUGGACAACGGUUAAUAUUACCGUACUUUUUUAUAACUGCGAUGUGGGGACGGAGUAUGACUGCCGCGAACUGACGGAAUAGUUCGUUAAAGGCUGUAGGUAUAGGACUGGUAGGCAAAUCCGCCAGUCUUGGCUGAAACGCGAUAGUACCGCGAGCCUUCGGGCAAAGUGGAUAGCGCAGGUAAUCAGACUUCCAAGAAAAACCGCUAAGCUUCAGGUUAUAAAAACCCGUACCGCAAACCGACACAGGUAGUCGGGAGAGAAGCCUAAGGUGCUCGAGUGAAUCACGGCUAAGGAACUAGGCAAAAUAACCCUGUAACUUCGGGAAAGGGAGCCGGCAGCAAUGUCGGCCGCAGAGAAAUGGCCCAGGCGACUGUUUAACAAAAACACAUGGCUAUGCAAAAUAAUGUCGACGUAUAUGGCCUGACACCUGCCCGGUGCUGGAAGGUUAAGAGGGGAUGUCAUCGCAAGAGAAGCAUUGAAUCGAAGCCCCAGUAAACGGCGGCCGUAACUAUAACGGUCCUAAGGUAGCGAAAUUCCUUGUCGGGUAAGUUCCGACCUGCACGAAUGGUGUAACGAUCUGGGCACUGUCUCAGCCGUGAGCUCGGUGAAAUUGUAGUGACGGUGAAGAUGCCGUCUACCCGCACGGGACGGAAAGACCCCGUGAACCUUUACUACUUAGUGACUGGAUAUCAGAUGUGUAGGAUAGGUGGGAGGCUUUGAAGUGGCGUCGCCAGGCGUCAUUUAGCCAACGUUGAAAUACCACCCUUUUGAUAUUUGGUUCCUAACCCCGGAUGGGGGACACCGCUUGGUGGGUAGUUUGACUGGGGUGGUCGCCUCCAAAAGAGUAACGGAGGCUUUCAAAGGUUCCCUCAGCACGCUUGGUAACCGUGCGAUGAGUGCAAUAGCAAAAGGGAGCUUGACUGCGAGACAAACAAGUCGACAGGUACGAAAGUAGGAUAUAGUGAUCCGGUGGUUCUGCAUGGAAGGGCCAUCGCUCAAAGGAUAAAAGGUACUCCGGGGAUAACAGGCUGAUCUCCCCCAAGAGCUCAUAUCGACGGGGAGGUUUGGCACCUCGAUGUCGGCUCGUCACAUCCUGGGGCUGGAGAAGGUCCCAAGGGUUCGGCUGUUCGCCGAUUAAAGUGGCACGCGAGCUGGGUUCAGAACGUCGUGAGACAGUUCGGUCCCUAUCUGUUGUGGGCGUAGGAAGUUUGAGAGGGCUGACCUUAGUACGAGAGGACCGGGUUGGACUACCUCUAGUGUAUCUGUUGUUCCGCCAGGGGCACCGCAGAGUAGCUACGCUGGGAAUAGAUAAGCGCUGAAAGCAUCUAAGUGCGAAACUAGCCACGAAUGAAGAAUUCCAAUAUAGGGCCGUAGAAGAGACUACGUUGAUAUAGGUUCAACAGAUGUAAAGCUGGUGACAGCAUAGUCGAGUGGAUACUAAUAACCCGAAGCUUUCCAAU